AGGCAGAGGCUCCGCUGGGGCCUGCUGAGAGUCCGGCUCCGGAAAGCCAGUGGAGAUGCUCCCUGAAGAAACAGCGGAAUCCCACGGAUCUCAGGGGUCCUGUCCUGGCCUGCGGCCUUGGAUCAUCCACCCUGGGGCGGGGUGAGGAGCAGACCUCGCCCUUCUUGGCUGGGACUGAGGGUCCGGCUUCCCCAAAGGCCUAGGCCGGCGUUCCCAGCCGCCGGCCCCAAUGGGCAGCGCCCGGCCCCGCCCGACUCCCGGAGGCCUGGCACUGCCCCUCAACCAAGAUGGCAUGGACGGCAUCGGUACGUCACGCGACACGCCCGCCGGGCUCCUACUGCGCUGCUCUUAGCUCGGCAGUUGGAGGCCGAGCAGCGGAGCGGGAAGCAUGACCUGGGGCCGGUGGUGGCCAGGGCGGCGCUUUGGCCGCUGUUGUGAGGCUGCGCGCUGGCGCUGCAGAGCGGGAUGCUGUACCCCUGGGAGAGCCUGUCACAGGAAUGCACGGAGCUGGACGGCCUCUGGAGCUUCCGCGCGGACUUCUCCGACAACCCCCGCCGGGGCUUCAAGGAAUAGCGGUGGCCACUGCGGAAGUUGAGGGCCCGGGGCAGGAGGUGCCCGGAAGCCCGGCGGAAUGAGUUGGGGAGUCCAGGCCCCCAGCAGGCUCCUUCCCCUGGGCAUCCCGCAGUUGGGGCUCCUCCGGUUUAAGAUAUGGGGUCUCACUAUAUUGCCCAGGCUGGUCUCGAAAUCCUGGCCUCAAGCUAUCCUCUUAUGUUGACCUUCCAAAGCACUGAUUACAGGCAUGAGCCAUCCAGACACUCGUCCAGACACUCUGGCCAGAGCGGUUGCUGAGGAGUGGGCCCAGGGCACCUUCAAACUCAACCCCAAUGAUGAGGACAUCCACACAGCCAAGGAGCGCCUCCUGAAGGGAAUGUGACACCCUCUUCUCUUUCUCGGGAUACAUCCACCUGCAGAGGGACCAGCCCAUUUGCUGGAGCCACUGAAUUCUGAGCUAAGUUCCUGUUCUGGGCUUCGCUGUGCAUGACCUGUCUCAGCAGGAUGGUCAAGGACCUCAUCCUCUAUGGCACCAAGGAAUCGGAUGCAUACAGCACCAGAAGCAGCCUGAUACUCCAGAAGAAAAACCACUGUGGGGCAUGUGUUUGGGCAGGGUCUUUUCAGGAAGGUGGAUGCUGGGAGGUGGCUAAGUCCAGAGAAGGGCUCCAGUCAUUCAAACAGAAACCUCCAGCCUCUGACCUUUGCAGUGAGCACAUGACCAGUGACCACCCUGAGGGACCAGGGGUCUGCUUGGCCCCAAGCUGGCUCAGAACUCAGGACUUUUCAAGCCAACUGCCACUUAAUGGCUGUACCAGGAAUAAACUUUCCUUCAACUGAUCAACUCUGCACGGGCAGCUAACAGAAGUUAACUGAAAAUGUGCCAUCGGGGCUGGUGCAUCAGUGGUUUGAUGAAUUAAAUCUAGGACCCAUCCAUCUUGCUGACGGCUGACCUGAGCAGCUACCUGAGCAGGCUGCACCGAGGCUUGCCUGAGAGUGGGCAGCACCUCAGUAAAGACCACUGAAUGACUGGAAGCCACGCUGAUGACCAGGGCCCUCGAGGUUAAUGAGACACAGAUAAAGUGUGCCCCGGACCAUUAGCAGGUGCGGUGAGGAAGAGGGCUAUGAGCAGAAAGCUCCUUGCCUGCUCACAGGAGACAACCCAGACACAGCAAAAGCCAAGAGCACAAAACCAUGCACAGCUGAGACAAAUACUGGCUUUUUAGACCUUAAAGGCAAGCAUUUUGGUAUUACAGUGACAGAAUUAGAACCUGGGGGGAAGUUGAAGGAGCUGAUGAAAACUUGAAGGAGAGGUUGGGUGUGGAGAUUCAUGUCCGUAAUCCCAGCACUUUGGGAGGCCGAGGUGGGUGUUCACUUGAGGUCAGGAGUACAAAACCAGCCUGGCCAACAGAUGGAGUGAAACUCCAUCUCUACAAAACAAAACUAAAACUAAAACAAAACAAAACAAAAAAACAAAAAAAACUAGCUGGGCAUGGUGGUGGGUGCCACCAGGAGGCCAAAGGCAGGAGAAUCACUUGAACCCUGGAGGUGGAGGUUGCAGUGAGUCAUGAGACAAGAUUGUGCCAUUGCACUUCAUUCAGCCUGGGCGAGAAAGGGAGACUCCAUCUCAAAAAAAAGGGGGUGGGGGGAGAGUUCUUAUCCCAGCCAAGUGUAAAGAUAUAUCUUUCCCAGGAAAAAAGAAACAGAAGGCAUCAAUGUGGAACAUGUAAAUUACAUGUAAAGAGACACAGUAAAAGUCAAAAGGCAUAAGUCUGAGACAUUUUAAAAGGAAAUAUAUUUCAGAAUACAAAAUUGUUAUCUCUUAUAUUCUCAUUGAGAACAAAUUAAUAUCGUAAGAAUAGCUUACUUUUUAACCAAAAUUUUAGUUUUAUGUUAGUGUAUGUUUAAUAUUUUAGCUAACUUUAAUAAGAUCUUAUAAACAAAUCUAUCCCAAUCCGUUUUGAUUGGGAUUACAGAUUAUGAGGUUAUAUGGCCGGGCACAGUGGCUCACGCCUGUAAUCCUGGCACUUUGGGAGGCUGAGGUGGGCGAUCACCUAAGGUCAGGAGUUCAAGACCAGCCUGGCCAACAUGGCAAAACUCUUACAAGAGUCUCAUAAGCCUUUUAUAACCUCAUAAUUGUUCUAUUUUAUAACUGUUUAUAUUCAUUUAGUUGUAUUUAUGCUUUAAAUUUUUCUUUAAAACAAUCCCCAAAAUCUUUAAAUUAGGCCAUAUUCUGUUUCAAAUCAUGAAAUAACUUGUUUUUGUUUUUAGAAAUCUCUAUUUAGUCUGCUCUAAUAUUUGGUUUCAGAUUUGGAUGUCUCGAUUCAGAAGACUUUGGUCUGUAAUCCCCUCUCAUGGGCUGUCUCAUACUGCACUUGGUAUCAAGAUUCUCCUGAUAUGAUGAUGGCAGGGUUGUUGUGUUCCUUCCUAUGGAAAAGUGUACAUAAAAUUGGCAUAGGAAACAGAACAUAGAGGGAAAUAUUUAAGGCAAAAAUCUUGAUAGAAAAAUCAAGAAUACAAAGUCAUAAAGCUCUAAAAUGUGGACAUUCUUAGAUAAACUGGAGUUGGGAAAAUAAAAAAAAUCAGAAAGACAUUUUAAGUACAAGUGGCCCAUCUGAAGAAACUGCGGUCAGAAGAUGGAAAUGAGCAUACCUUCAAGGCAGGAGCAAAGGCUGCCUUCGUCUUCACCAGUAGUCUCCUGGCCAGUACAGUGUGAAAUGGCAGUUAGUAGAGUGGCCGCUGGAACUGAAGGCGAGGCCUACAUCAUGAGAUGAGAUUGGGUGCAUUCAGGGUGGUGUGGCUGUAGACAAGGUCUCCAUCUUCAGAUGACCUCAGUGACAGGUCACCGUAGAAUGUUCAAAUAAACUCGUGCCACACUGUGGGGUCCAGCUG